rnacentral:rRNA from 1 species
UUGGGUAACACUAACUGGAGGACCGAACCGACUAAUGUUGAAAAAUUAGCGGAUGACUUGUGGCUGGGGGUGAAAGGCCAAUCAAACCGGGAGAUAGCUGGUUCUCCCCGAAAGCUAUUUAGGUAGCGCCUCGUGAAUUCAUCUCCGGGGGUAGAGCACUGUUUCGGCAAGGGGGUCAUCCCGACUUACCAACCCGAUGCAAACUGCGAAUACCGGAGAAUGUUAUCACGGGAGACACACGGCGGGUGCUAACGUCCGUCGUGAAGAGGGAAACAACCCAGACCGCCAGCUAAGGUCCCAAAGUCAUGGUUAAGUGGGAAACGAUGUGGGAAGGCCCAGACAGCCAGGAUGUUGGCUUAGAAGCAGCCAUCAUUUAAAGAAAGCGUAAUAGCUCACUGGUCGAGUCGGCCUGCGCGGAAGAUGUAACGGGGCUAAACCAUGCACCGAAGCUGCGGCAGCGACACUGUGUGUUGUUGGGUAGGGGAGCGU